UUCUGUAACUACAUCAUCCCCUCUUUACUCUCCCUUUUGUAAAAUAUCUUCAUAUAAUAUCACCUCUGUACU